rnacentral:rRNA from 1 species
GCGAACGCUGGCGGCAGGCUUAACACAUGCAAGUCGAGCGGGCACUUUCGGGUGUCAGCGGCGGACGGGUGAGUAACGCGUGGGAACGUGCCCUCUGGUUCGGAAUAACUCAGGGAAACUUGAGCUAAUACCGGAUACGCCCUUUUGGGGAAAGGCUUGCUGCCGGAGGAUCGGCCCGCGUCUGAUUAGCUAGUUGGUGAGGUAACGGCUCACCAAGGCGACGAUCAGUAGCUGGUCUGAGAGGAUGAUCAGCCACACUGGGACUAAGACACGGCCCAGACUCCUACGGGAGGCAGCAGUGGGGAAUAUUGGACAAUGGGCGCAAGCCUGAUCCAGCCAUGCCGCGUGAGUGAUGAAGGCCUUAGGGUUGUAAAGCUCUUUUAUCCGGGACGAUAAUGACGGUACCGGAGGAAUAAGCCCCGGCUAACUUCGUG